rnacentral:misc_RNA from 1 species
AUUUUUCGAAAUUAUGUUUUUCACUAGUCAUGAAUGGUUGUGUCUUGAUUAAACUAGAUUAUUCAGACAUUGAUGUAUGGCAAAUUAAAAUAAUCUCAGAUAAGCAAUAAUGAUGUUCAGUGAUCAUCUGAUUCAAAACAUUUAGUGCUCAUUUUUUCCAGAUAUUUACAUUUUGUUGUACAUGUAUUCCACUUCAAAGAGUUAUUGCAUUGACUUGUUUACAUUUUUUUUCAUCCUUGUGAACUUUUUUCUCUCCGUUUACAGUGUAAUAUUUUUCAUAAAGUAGAAUCUCGAGGGUAUCAUAUCAUCUAAGAUUUAUAAUGCAUGUAUAAUAUAUCAGGAUCAUGCAAACACACAAUUUAACGUCUCCUUUCAGUGGGUAUUUGAAUUUCAUUUUUCAUUAAUAUUGGUUUUUGAAAUGUCAAAUUAUAAAAUAAAAUCUUGGAUUUAAUUUU